AUUGAACGCUGGCGGCAGGCCUAACACAUGCAAGUCGAGCGGAGCGGCGGACGGGUGAGUAAUACCUAGGAAUCUGCCUGGUAGUGGGGGAUAACGUUCGGAAACGGACGCUAAUACCGCAUACUAUCAGAUGCGCGUAGGUCGGAUUAGCUAGUUGGUGAGGUAAUGGCUCACCAAGUCUACGAUCCGUAACUGGUCUGAGAGGAUGAUCAGUCACACUGGAACUGAGAGACGGUCCAGACGGCUACGGGAGGCAGCAGUGGGGAAUAUUGGACAAUGGGCGAAAGUCUGAUCCAGCGACGCCGCGUGGGGGAUGAAGGCCUGCUGGUUGUAAACUACUUUCGACAGGGACGCGGUACCUGUAUAAGAAGCACCGGCUAACUACGUGCCAGCAGCCGCGGUAAUUC
rnacentral:rRNA from 1 species